UGCUUAACGUGACCUUUCGAGCAUCUAUUUUUGCCCGUUAUUGAUUCGAAAUGGAAGUAGAGAGUACACAAUGAUAUGUAAAUGGUGUCAGGGCAAGAGGAAAAAAAUAAUACUAAUAUUCUUCAACUUCGAUAAAGUCUAAGGUCUCUCUGAAGGAAGGAGUGGUAGGUGGGUUUUUUUCCAGGCCGCAUGUCAACAUGCCCGUUUAACAGAUGCAACCUAUAUCGCAGAAACUAUCAACAUUGUUUGGAUACCGGAGACAGCUAAAUAUGAGACGAAGAUAGUUUACAAACCUGUGUUUAGAGGGAAAUUUCCAUUGCGAUGUCUCGCUGAAGGAUUCUGACGUACUCCUCGUCCCAGCAACUAUAAUAACAUUACAGUACAGGUAAUCGAUUGAUCCGAGAAUACCAUCGAACUGUUAUGUUUCCCAUCGCCACGGAUCAACUCACACUGGGAACACGGACACAAGAUAUCAUAAAACGACUUGAUACUCAGGCAUUUUAAAUACGUUUAGAUACGAUUAUAAACGUUUUUUUAACGUUAAGUGGCCAAAUAAUUGACGAAAUGCCAGAUACUAUUCUGAGUGUUUUUAUCCUUUUUAAGCACCAGCAUUCGUAUGAUAUGAGAGGAUGUGUCAGUAUAGUAUCCUUGAACUUGGUCUUAAAGACAUUGAUGUUGCAAUACUAGUACCUAAAGCUGUUGCUUCAGGUGUUCUGGUUAAAAUGUAUUUAUUUCUGUGUAACGUGCAUGAAAUAUUUGUUGUUUAUCAGCAUCCGUUAUUUUCCUAGUUGGUACGUACGACAAAAAUAUGUCAACAAUUUAAUCGUUAUAGUCGUAUUUGUUUGAUAAGGAGUAUCCACGAAAGUUUGUACAAUGAAAAUAUCUUAAUUGCCUGAAACCACGAAAUUAAAUACCCUCAAAUAUUACAUGCUGUACGGUAAUAUUAGGUAUACCAGUAAGGUACACUUACAAAUAAGCAAUACCUUUUCACUGGUGUGAAUAAACUGUUCCACAAUUGUA